rnacentral:rRNA from 1 species
UACGUAGGGGGCUAGCGUUGUCCGGAUUUAUUGGGCGUAAAGAGCGUGUAGGCGGCCAGGUAGGUCUGCUGUGAAAACUCGAGGCUCAACCUCGAGACGUCGGCGGAAACCAUCUGGCUAGAGUCCGGAAGAGGAGAGUGGAAUUCCUGGUGUAGCGGUGAAAUGCGUAGAGAUCGGCAGGAACACCCAGGGGGAAACCAGUCGACUGGGCAGCACCUGACGCUGAGGUGCGAGAGCGUGGGGAGCGAACCGG